UUGAAAGGGAAACGAUUGAAGUCAGUCGUGCUGGCGCGAAAUCAACCCUCUCGUCGUGAGAUCACAUGCUGUGGCGAGCCUCAAAACCGCCACAGCGUGUGACCUCCGAUGAGGGGGAGCACUUUCGUGUCCGCUGGUUAACAUCAAUUUCGAUCGUCAUAAAAAGGCUGGAGGGAUGUGGCUCCUUCGGGAGUGUUUAUAACCUUUAGCGGAAUGUGGUGGUCGGGAUUGAGGAUUGCAACGAAUACCUUUAGGGCUGUUCCACCUGGCCUCUCUUUGGUAUCCUGGUGACGACAGCUUGCUGACGUCGUUAGGAUUCGCCUUUGAACAGGCUAGAGUGUGAGCAAAUUCGUUAAGGAUGUUGACGUA
rnacentral:rRNA from 1 species